UUCUCCCUGCAGUGUUCGAGAUUUCUCGGAGUUCUGUCCUUUACUCUUGUUGUUUCGGGAGCUACGACAGCGCCGGAUGAUGUCAGGCCGUAAACCGGAAGACAGAAGCUGGCGUUGCGGCGCCCACCUAUCAAAACAAAGGCCAAGAACUCCUCCUAUACGGCACAGGCGGGGUUUUU
rnacentral:other from 2 species